GACGAACGCUGGCGGCGUGCUUAACACACGCAAGUCGAACGGAAAGGCUCCAGCUUGCUGGCGUACUCGAGUGGCGAACGGGUGAGUAACACGUGGGUAAUCUGCCCUGCACUCUGGGAUAAGCCUGGGAAACUGGGUCUAGUACUGGAUAUGACCUUUCUCCUUAUGGGGUUUGGUGGAAAGUUUUUCGGUGUAGGAUGAGCCCGCGGCCUAUCAGCUUGUUGGUGGGGUGAUGGCCUACCAAGGCGACGACGGGUAGCCGGCCUGAGAGGGUGAUCGGCCACAUUGGGACUGAGAUACGGCCCAGACUCCUACGGGAGGCAGCAGUGGGGAAUAUUGCACAAUGGGCGGAAGCCUGAUGCAGCGACGCCGCGUGAGGGAUGACGGCCUUCGGGUUGUAAACCUCUUUCAGCAGGGACGAAGCGUAAGUGACGGUACCUGCAGAAGAAGCACCGGCUAACUAUGUG
rnacentral:rRNA from 1 species